UUCGAACUGAUAACCUGCAAGAAACAAUUAUACUAAUCACUAUUAAUGAACAAUAUUUGUAAAUACUAUAUUCUUUAUAAUUAUUGCAGCUUGCAACUUGUUCUUGAUCCUCUAGUUGUUUUUAUGGUCCUUGGUAAAACCCAGUAAGCAUUUAUUUACUUGCAUGUAAAAAAUUUCCCAUGUAAAUUUCCCACAAUUUUUUUUUUGUCCUACCAGUAACACCCAACAAACAUUAUGUCUUAUAUAUUAAUCAUUCACACUAUUAAUAAGCCAUUGUAAAUUAUUUCUAAGCUCGUUUUUAUUGUAAUUGUAUAUGCUUCCUUAAAGGGGGGAGAAAAACAAUAAAAGAUGGUUGACUCCUUCGGGAGCCAACCACUUGGCUUUGCAACUGCGGCCAUACAAGUAAAAAAAAAGAGAGAAUUGGAAAUUCUCUCCCUUUAUCACCUGGCCCGGCUGAGUAACGGCCUGACUCAAAUCACGGCCAAAACAAUGGACACCUAUGGCAAAAUAAAAGCUACCCUGGAGGCAAACAAAUUUGCCUUUUUUACUCACCAGCCCAGAUGGGAACGAGGUGCUAGACGUGCGACCCUUGAGACCGCAGUGCCAAACUUUGUCAAACGCUUCUGUAAUAUCGAUGAAUAUAGGCGAUCCAUACAGUUUGUCCUCAAAAGCUCUCUGGAGGAAUUGUGUAACGCGAGCUAGUUGAUGCUCGGCCCCAUGAAAUUUGCAUUUGUAUGGAUUGUGAAAGACGGUUACAUUUAAGGACCCUCUUGGCAAGCAAGGAUUCAAGUAUUUUUGUUUUGUUUGCCUAUGACAAAAAAAACAACACAUGUUACUCACUUCUUGCCUAUAAGAGGGAAUUUUCCUGACAAUAAGAGCGCUGCCUCAAUGAUUUUGCCAACUGCAAUGACGCCAUGAAUCGAUAUGAUUCGAACUGAUAACCUGCAAGAAACAAUUAUACUAAUCACUAUUAAUGAACAAUAUUUGUAAAUACUAUAUUCUUUAUAAUUAUUGCAGCUUGCAACUUGUUCUUGAUCCUCUAGUUGUUUUUACGGUCCUUGGUAAAACCCAGUAAGCAUUUAUUUACUUGCAUGUAAAAAAUUUCCCAUGUAAAUUUCCCACAAUUUUUUUUUUGUCCUACCAGUAACACCCAACAAACAUUAUGUCUUAUAUAUUAAUCAUUCACACUAUUAAUAAGCCAUUGUAAAUUA